rnacentral:tRNA from 1 species
UUGUUGGUGACUGAGGUAUAAGUGUUAAAUUUUUAAUUUAAAUACGGCGUGUGUAAGCCCCACGAU